UAAAGAAUACAUUUCAGUUUGCUGGCAAAAAUUGGAGCAAUCGGAUGUGUAUUCAUUGUGAUAAUGAAGCAAAGUUUAGGUGCAGCGAUUGUGGUCCAAUGGCAAAGUAUUGUGAGAACUGUAUGUUAAAGAUGCACACAACCGUAAAUAUUUGUCAUCAUGUUGAAAUAUUUAAGGAUGGCAUGUUUUGGCCAUAUAAACUCAUGAACAUGCUGGUGUAUGAUUGUUCAUGCCAAACAGCUUGUCACAAAAGAAGUGUUUCUGUUGUUGAUGUUAAAGGCACCUUUUGUACUGUUGAGGUACAGUUUUGCUCAUGCUCUUCCGAGUUUGUUCAACUUCUGCAAUUUGGCCUUUGGGGUGGAACACCUACACAACCAAGAAUUGCAUUUGCAAUUGAGUUUUUUGAAUUGGUUCAUUCUGUGCAGAUGGAAUGCCAGGCAUCAAUAAAAAGCAUUUGUCAGUCAUUUGAAGAGUUUAAUCACAACCACAUAUUUUCUUCUUAUGCAACACCAAAAUGUAUCCUGUCAUUAUAGAUGCUUUUGAAGAAUACAGAAUUUACAGACAUGAACUAAACAUGUUGAGCUGUGUUAUUCCUGAGCUUGAUGAAGGAAAUAUCUGUCCUGCUUGUCCCAAAACUGAUGGUGUGAUCUUUGAGUCUCUUGAUGCUCUUUUUAUUGGACGAAGGAAAAAAAGCUGGGCAGAGUAUUGGAAAACCUCUAUUUGAACAGCUGAUGUUCUAUGAUCAGACACAUGUUGAUCAAUUUGUUGCCAAUUAUACCACACCUACAUCAAACAAGGAGUGUCAUGGUUUUCUUGCUGGGAAUGCUGUUCGAUCAAUGAAUCGCUACAGAGCUCUUGAUGAAACAGCAAUCUU